CCUACGGGUGGCAGCAGUGGGGAAUAUUGCGCAAUGGGCGAAAGCCUGACGCAGCAACGCCGUGUGAGGGAUGAAGGCUUUCGGGUCGUAAACCUCUGUCAGAAGGGAAGAACGGGUGGUGGUCUAAUAGGCCUCCAUUUUGACGGUACCUUCAGAGGAAGCACCGGCUAACUCCGUGCCAGCAGCCGCGGUAAUACGGAGGGUGCAAGCGUUAUUCGGAAUUACUGGGCGUAAAGCGCACGUAGGCCGCUUUGUAAGUCAGGGGUGAAAUCCCACGGCUCAACCGUGGAACUGCCCUUGAAACUGCGAAGCUUGAAUCCUGGAGAGGGUGGCGGAAUUCCUGGUGUAGGAGUGAAAUCCGUAGAUAUCAGGAGGAACACCGGUGGCGAAGGCGGCCACCUGGACAGGUAUUGACGCUGAGGUGCGAAAGUGUGGGGAGCAAACAGGAUUAGAUACCCUUGUAGUC
rnacentral:rRNA from 1 species